AACGCACGAGACCUGCGGACCUGCGGAAGGAUCAUUAUUGAAAUCCUUCCAAGGAUGUUGCUGGUCCUUAGGGACAUGUGCACUCCGCCUUUCUAUACACCUGUGAACUUAUUGUAGGUGCAGAUGUAACAAGUCUGUUACCUAUGUUUUUUAACACACCCUUUUAAAAUGUAUAAUGGAAUGUUGAUGGAUAAUAAUAACAAUACAACUUUUAGCAAUGGAUCUCUAGAUCGGAAGAGC
rnacentral:misc_RNA from 1 species